rnacentral:rRNA from 1 species
CCGUCCGAUUUGUGAAGUUAAGCAGCCACAGGCUUAGUUAGUACUGAGGUCAGUGAUGACUCGGGAACCCUAAGUGCCGUACCCUCAUAACACUCA